rnacentral:misc_RNA from 1 species
UUAAAUAAUAAAAAAAUACUUUCAUUUUGCAGUAUUUCUCCUCAGAACGAGUUUCCAAAUGGGAAGAGAAGAGCCCUUAGUGAGCUCAAAAGCGGAGCUGAAACACAAGCAAAAGCUCAAGAAGAAAGCCAAAUCUGGUGGCUGCGAGUUGCUAAACCUCAGUCCCAAUGUCUAUUGUGGAAUUAAGAGGAAGGGCUACCGUGUCCCAACUCCUAUUCAAAGCAAGACCAUGCUUCUCAUCCUCGCCGGUUCCGACGUGGUAGCCAUGGCUCACACUGGUUCUAGUAAAACCGCGGCGUUUUUGAUCUCGAUGCUUGAGAAGCUAAAGCAGCACCAACCUCAGGAAGGUGUUAGGGCUCUCAUUUUGUCGCCUACUAGGGAUUUGGCUUUGCAGACCUUAAAGUUCACUAAAGAGCUUGGCAGGCUCACCAGUUAGUUUCAAAAUGUUUUUUCUUUGUUUUCUCAGUUCUUUGUAUUGGAGAAGAUUGUUGCUAUUUUUUAAUUUGGCAGUGCUUUUUUUAAUUUGGCAGUGCUUUUUUUAAUUUGGCAGUGCU